UCGUUUGAUUAUACGAAAAUACACAGUUGGUCCAAUCUUCUCGAACGUGUCUGGCAUUUCGUGAAGAGAAGCGAGGGAAUUGCAAGUUAAAAUUCGUAUACAUAUUAUCACUUUGAAAAAGUGCUGAGAUAGAAGAUGCUUCCGAAACAAGAUAUAUCUCAAGAUUAAAGUGGAUAAUAUACAUUGAAUGUAUAUCUAUCUCCAAUCUAACUUCUAAUAGACAAAGUGUAACGCACAGUAAGAGGAAACAUUAGUGAGAGAUUCAAAGCAUUCUAUUGCAAUAUUACGUACAGACGCAAAUUUUUAAUUUCUUCUUCUUUUCAUCUUCUAAAGAAAGAAAUUCGAGCAUCAAAAAAAUAUUCGAAACGACGAUACUAGGAUUUUAGAGAAAAGGCACGAUGUAUUGUUCAGAAUUCGUGACGUAUCGCGCGAACCCACUUCGGGGGAGAGAGAAAGAGAAAAGAAGGAGAAGGAGAGGAAGAGAGAAAGAACGAGUUCUCCUUUCGUCUCCCACCCCCGCUGUUCUGGAUCUAAAUACGGGAUUAAUAUUGAGAACGAAGAGACACACGCGGAAAAGGAUGAUGGGCGUUACAUGGACAAAUGAAGGAGUUAGCUGGCUGAAGAAUGAAAAAAGGAAAAAAUCGAGGUACGUCCACACGAAGCUAGCGGUAUACAGGCAUCGCUGUGAAAACAAGGAAAAUAGGGUUAAACAGGGAAAGGUGGUUACGUUUGUAGAUCAUCGUAAUGAGAUUACCGUUAACAAUAACGAAAACGAUAGGAAUAAGAAUAAGGAUAGACCGCAUCAUCGAAUCAUCCCCCAUUAUUUCUCACAAUUUUAACAAUUUUUUUCUCUCUGUUUUUUUUUUUGUAUAAUGCACUCAAUAUAAAUAUAAAUUUUCAUAAUAUCAGAGAAACAAACUUGAUACAAUUGAUACAAUUUAAUAUUUAAUAUUAAAAUUGAAAUUUAAUAUUUUUCAUACUGUUAUAGCCUAAAUAAUUAUUUCUCACAAUCAAUGAUAAUUUUCGUAAAAAAUUCAAAAUUAUUCGAUCUUAUGAAUAUUGACGUGUUUAUAUCUAAUCGGAAGGUCUCAAGCAAGAAAAAAACAUGCGAAGAAUUAAAAGUUUUUUAACAUAUUUUAUUAGAUUUGUCUGUGGAACGAACAAGAGGUUUCAUAAUACGAUAAUACUAAUCCUAAAUGAAAUCUUCAAAGGCUCGCGCGAUCCUCACACGCUGAAGAUCCAUCUGCGUCCCCCCGAAAAAGAAUUCUUUUUUUACAUUAUCUUUUACCUUUCAUCGAAGGGAUGACACAUACGAGAAAUGACUCGUCGGAUACGCGCGAGUCCCUCUUUCAUAACAAAUCGCAUAAUUUGAACAAAUCAUCACGUACGAAGAUACGAUCGAAACGGGAAGGAGAGAAAAAAGAAAAAACAACAUGUAUACGUAUAACAAUUAUACGCAAUUAUAGUCGUAGCGUAUCACGUUUUAAACAUAUAUAAUUAAUAUUAAAUCAAUAUAUAUCUAUCUAUGUAGGACCUUAUCAUACUUGUACGAAUUACAAUAAGAAGUCGAUAAUAUGGCACUUACUAUAUAGUUCACGGUGUGUGUCUCUGUAUGUGUUUGUGUAAGAGCCGAACUUAAAACCGCGAUACAUAAUAACAGAUUAGUUAUUGUCUAAGUAGUAGAGCGAUAUGCUUAUCGGCGCGGAGAGUGAAACUGCCCGCGCGUAACAGGUUCGUGCAGCUAAUUAACGGCUGACAUCUCUGUCACGUACGUGUGUAUACAUGUGUCCACGGCGUCGAUCCUGUAUGUAUGUGUGUAUAUGUGUGUGCCCGGAUAACAGACGGAACUGUGCACAAUCCUCAUCCCGUCUCAUUUCAUUUCGUGUAUAAAAAACGUCCAAAUAUAAGAUAUUUACGAUUUAUAUUGCCUCGUCGCGCGAUAUAUAAGGGCGCAGAAUCAUCUAAUAAUUUUUCGCCCCGAGCGAUCGGAAUCUCUAGUUCCCUUUCUCGCUAUCGUGCAUCUUGCAGCGAGUUCGCACGUUCAAUGGAAUUUGUCGUUAACGCAAUCGAUAACAAUCUCUUCGAAAGGAAUAAAAUUUCUCGAGAGCUCGGCGUGAUCGAUUAACUCGCUUUUCUCUCGAAAAUCUCGAAAAAUCGGGUCGAAAAUUUCUUGUUUUAUUUUGCGAUUGAGAUAUGGGAGAAGGAUAAUAUUUUUGUUAUCACAUACACACAGUGUAAGUGUAAUAUCGAGAUUAAUUGUCUUGAGAAAAGCGAGUCAGACCGUUCCUCUCUCAUCGCGAGUACACAUAUUUCUAUGAAUAUAUAUAAAAGAUUUAUAUUCAUGAUCUAAUUUCUCUCUUCUUGUGUGAAGAAUUUUCGAGAAUGAUCGAUAGACUACUUAGAGAUUAUAAUCGAACACACGAUAAGUACCUUCCGAUAAUAUUCCGAAAAAGAGUGACUUUAUUCUAUUCCAGAGAUCUCGUUUUAACGAGGGUGAGCAAUAUUACGAUUGUAUAUAACACUAUAGGAAGCUCCGUUCGCCGUCAACUCGAAUGGCGGAUUAAGAUACGUUCUUGGCGAAUUGUCGUUGUUGUACGUAAUGUUGUACGUAGUUCUAUACGCUAACAAAGACAUCCCUCUCGCGAGUCGAGACGUCUCGGUAAAAAGGCACACUUAAUUCUAGGUCGUUAAGUUUUUUUGUACGAUAGUAACUGUCGGAUCUCUCGAUUUCCUAGUGAUUCUCCGAAUCCUGCACGCGCUCAAUAUAUGAGAGUUGUGAUCGACAAUAACACUCUAAAAGAAAAGAAAAAAAGAAAAAAAAGAGAA